rnacentral:rRNA from 1 species
GAUGAACGCUGGCGGCGUGCCUAAUACAUGCAAGUCGAGCGAAUGGAUUAAGAGCUUGCUCUUAUGAAGUUAGCGGCGGACGGAUGAGUAACACGUGGGUAACCUGCCCAUAAGACUGGGAUAACUCCGGGAAACCGGGGCUAAUACCGGAUAACAUUUUGAACCGCAUGGUUCGAAAUUGAAAGGCGGCUUCGGCUGUCACUUAUGGAUGGACCCGGGUCGCAUUAGCUAGUUGGUGAGGUAACGGCUCACCAAGGCAACGAUGCGUAGCCGACCGGGGAGGGUGAUCGGCCACACUGGGACGGAGACACGGCCCAGACUCCUACGGGAGGCAGCAGUAGGGAACCUUCCGCAAUGGACGAAAGUCUGACGGAGCAACGCCGCGUGAGUGAUGAAGGCUUUCGGGUCGUAAAACUCUGUUGUUAGGGAAGAACAAGCGCUAGUUGAAUAAGCUGGCACCUUGACGGUACCUAACCAGAAAGCCACGGCUAACUACGUGCCAGCCGCCGCAGUAA